rnacentral:rRNA from 1 species
ACGGGGGGACUCCUACGGGAGGCAGCAGUGGGGAAUUUUCCGCAAUGGGCGAAAGCCUGACGGAGCAACGCCGCGUGAGGGAUGAAGGCCUCUGGGCUGUAAACCUCUUUUCUCAAGGAAGAAGAUCUGACGGUACUUGAGGAAUAAGCCACGGCUAAUUCCGUGCCAGCAGCCGCGGUAAU